ensembl:misc_RNA Metazoa_SRP Metazoan signal recognition particle RNA
GCCGGGUGCAGUGGCAUGUGCCUGUAAUCCAAGUCACAGAGGAGCUCUGGGCUGCAGCACGCUAUGUCGAACGGGUGUCCACGCUAAGUUCGGUAUCGAUAUGGUGUUCCUGGGGGAGCCCGGGACCACCAGGUUGUCUAAGGAGGGGUGAACCGGCCCAGGUCGGAAACAAAGCAGGUCAAAUCCCCCGUGUUGUCCUUAGUGUCCUUGUUCCUGUCUGUGUUACUUUGCACCAGUU